UACGAAGGGGGCUAGCGUUGUUCGGAAUUACUGGGCGUAAAGGGCGCGUAGGCGGCGCAUCAAGUCAGGCGUGAAAGCCCCGGGCUUAACCUGGGAACUGCGUUUGAGACUGGUGUGCUAGAGUUCGGGAGAGGUGAGUGGAAUUCCCAGUGUAGAGGUGAAAUUCGUAGAUAUUGGGAAGAACACCGGUGGCGAAGGCGGCUCACUGGACCGACACUGACGCUGAGGCGCGAAAGCGUGGGGAGCAAACAGG
rnacentral:rRNA from 1 species